rnacentral:sRNA from 1 species
GAGGCAGGUAUUGAGGAUAGGAGAGUAUAUGGGUUUGGCACCAUGGGGUGGAUAGGCAAAACAAUUUGGUUGAUAAGGCGCAGAUCCUGAACUAAAUUGUAAGACUUGUCUGGUUUUAGGACAGGUAAAAUGGGGGAAUUGUAAGGAGAGUUUAUAGGUUUUAAAAGGCCAUGCUCUAGCAGCUACCGCCUUCCUCAUCAACAAAGUGCCCCUUCCUGUUGACAAGUUGGCACCUUUACCUCUGGACAACAUUCUUCCCUUUAUGGAUCCAUUAAAGCUUCUUCUGAAAACUCUGGGCAUUUCUGUUGAGCACCUUGUGGAGGGGCUAAGGAAGUGUGUAAAUGAGCUGGGACCAGAGGCUUCUGAAGCUGUGAAGAAACUGCUGGAGGCGCUAUCACACUUGGUGUGACAUCAAGAUAAAGAGCGGAGGUGGAUGGGGAUGGAAGAUGAUGCUCCUAUCCUCCCUGCCUGAAACCUGUUCUACCAAUUAUAGAUCAAAUGCCCUAAAAUGUAGUGACCCGUGAAAAGGACAAAUAAAGCAAUGAAUAC